CCUGACCCUAGAGGUAUUUGCAGGUGUGACUGCUGUGUUACAUGUGAGUCAGUGCAGAGAGGAGAGAGGCUAUGUCUGCACUCAGUGUUCUGACCUAUGGACAUCUGAAAGAUUAGUAGCCUAACACU
ensembl:snoRNA